GACGAACGCUGGCGGCGUGCCUAAUACAUGCAAGUAGAACGCUGAAGGAGGAGCUUGCUUCUCUGGAUGAGUUGCGAACGGGUGAGUAACGCGUAGGUAACCUGCCUGGUAGCGGGGGAUAACUAUUGGAAACGAUAGCUAAUACCGCAUAAGAGUAGAUGUUGCAUGACAUUUGCUUAAAAGGUGCAAUUGCAUCACUACCAGAUGGACCUGCGUUGUAUUAGCUAGUUGGUGAGGUAACGGCUCACCAAGGCAACGAUACAUAGCCGACCUGAGAGGGUGAACGGCCACACUGGGACUGAGACACGGCCCAGACUCCUACGGGAGGCAGCAGUAGGGAAUCUUCGGCAAUGGACGGAAGUCUGACCGAGCAACGCCGCGGGAGUGAAGAAGGGUUUCGGAUCGUAAAGCUCUGUUGUAAGAGAAGAACGAGUGUGAGAGUGGAAAGUUCACACUGUGACGGUAUCUUACCAGAAAGGGACGGCUAACUACGUG
rnacentral:rRNA from 1 species